ACGGAGGGUGCAAGCGUUAUUCGGAAUUAUUGGGCGUAAAGGGCGCGUAGGCGGCCGAACAGGUCAGGUGUGAAAGCCCGGGGCUUAACCCCGGAAGUGCAUUUGAAACCUUUUGGCUUGAGUAUGGGAGAGGAGAGCGGAAUUCCUGGUGUAGAGGUGAAAUUCGUAGAUAUCAGGAGGAACACCGGUGGCGAAGGCGGCUCUCUGGACCAAUACUGACGCUGAGGCGCGAAGGCGUGGGUAGCAAACAGGAUUAGAUACCCUGGUAGUCCACGCAGUAAACGUUGUUCACUAGGUGUAGUGGGUAUUGACCCCUACUGUGCCGGAGCUAACGCAUUAAGUGAACCGCCUGGGAAGUACGGUCGCAAGAUUA
rnacentral:rRNA from 1 species